rnacentral:rRNA from 1 species
GAUGAACGCUGGCGGCGUGCCUAAUACAUGCAAGUCGAGCGAACGGACGAGAAGCUUGCUUCUCUGAUGUUAGCGGCGGACGGGUGAGUAACACGUGUAUAACCUACCUAUAAGACUGGGAUAACUUCGGGAAACCGGAUCUAAUACCGGAUAAUAUUUUGAACCGCAUGGUUCAAAAGUGAAAGACGUUCUUGCUGUCACUUAUAGAUGGAUCCGCGCUGCAUUAGCUAGUUGGUAAGGUAACGGCUUACCAAGGCAACGAUGCAUAGCCGACCUGAGAGGGUGAUCGGCCACACUGGAACUGAGACACGGUCCAGACUCCUACGGGAGGCAGCAGUAGGGAAUCUUCCGCAAUGGGCGAAAGCCUGACGGAGCAACGCCGCGUGAGUGAUGAAGGUCUUCGGAUCGUAAAACUCUGUUAUUAGGGAAGAACAUAUGUGUAAGUAACUGUGCACAUCUUGACGGUACCUAAUCAGAAAGCCACGGCUAACUACGUG